rnacentral:rRNA from 1 species
AACUUUGGAACUGCAAUUAAAACUGCUCGACUAGAGUUUGAUAGAGGAAAGCGGAAUACAUAGUGUAGAGGUGAAAUUCGUAGAUAUUAUGUAGAACACCAGUUGCGAAGGCGGCUUUCUGGAUCACACUGACGCUGANNNCGAAAGUAUGGGUAGCAAAGAGGAUUAGAUACCCUCGUAGUCCAUACCAUAAACGAUGAUUGCUAGAUGUUGGAAAUUUAUUUUCAGUAUCGCAGCUAACNCAUUAAGCAAUCCGCCUGGGGAGUACNNCCGCAAGUUAAAACUCAAAUGAAUUGACNGGGA